AUACUUACCUGGCAGGGGAGAUACCAUGAUCAUGAAGGUGGUUUUCCCAGGGUGAGGCUUAUCGAUUACACUCCAGAUAUGCCGCCCCCUGGGACUUCCCCAAAUGUGGGAAACUCAACCACAUAGUUUGUGGUAGUAGGGGACUAAAUUCACAAA